AAUUAUCGGAGAGACUUGAUCACUUUCAAAUUUUAAUACACCCUCGAAGCUGGUGGAAUUCUCCAUAAGCUCCAUUAGAUAUCUAGGCUGACGCUUUGCACCCAUCUUUAUGCAUGAAUUAAUAGAAGUGUUAACGAACUUCAGGUAUCCAUCUUGUAUUGCCUCACUUUCUAGAAGUAAAACAAAUUCUCCAAUAUCUUGCUCAUAACCAAGAAUGUGUUCUCGUUCAUUUGGAAUGAUCAAGUCCUCGGAUUCCCUUAAGAAAAAUUUCUUCAACAUCACAAAACAUCUAAUGAUUCUCUUCCUCAAGAUACCAAUAAAGAGUACGAAGCUCAAUGGGAUUACUUGAUAAAGCAUCAAUAAGCAGAGAGAUCCAAAAAUUGAGAUUGGCAGAAGCAAUUUAUUCGUGAUCACAAUCACUAUCUGACUUCCUAUACAAAUGUUGAGAAGUAGAUUUCUGAUGUGAUAAAUAAUUUUUCUACACUUCUGGCCUCGAACUUGUAAUGGUGGGAGUCUUUUUUUCCACUCUACCAGUCUUUCGAUUCUGUAAUUCUUUAUUUCUGAUGAAAUGCUAGAGAUGGUACAUUUUCUAAUAUUCCGUACAGCGUGAAGUAAAGCUACUAAAAAUCUUCCUAAAGACAUGACAGUGCAAAAAGCCAUACCUACAUAUUGUGUCAAAAAAACAAAAUAUACUGAACAUUUAUAGCUGGAGUCUAUAUUUAACUUACUUUGUUCAAGCAACAUUGUUGCAUAACCUGCAUUAUAGCUGUAACUAAUGGCACAGAUCAAGAAUAAAGCGCCACUGGCCUCAGAUCGUGCCAUUACAAACUGAGGGUUACCUGUUUCUGCCAUCACCCAGUACUUCUUCACUCGUGACUUUAACUUGUCAAAGUCCAUUAAUUCGCCUCCUUGUAGUUCCUCUGCCGAAAUUAAUGUACGCAAUUCUUUAUACUUGUCUUCCAAAUACAUUUUACUUGUAAAUACUGUUAAAGCAGAAGAGCUCAAUACAAUUAACGCAUAAAUAUUCAUAAAGACAAUCACCCCUUGGAAAUGUUCUUCAAUCACGCCUGUGAAUACUUGGAUGAUAACAUUUACGGUAAGCGUCACUAUAAGGGAUCCCAGUGCUGUCAAGUUCACUAAUAUAUCUCUAUCACUCAUGGAUCCGAGAGAAGGCAUGAAAUGAGUGGUUGAAAUACACAAGAAAGCAGUGCUACUACAUUUAGCAGCUUGAUCAUACUUACCUUUCAUCGGGGUAGUUAGAUCCAUUGACAACUUCACUGCGAUGGAUAACGCAGUCAUGGAAACAGCAUUGAGAGCAGAAUAUCUGCAGGGGAACCAUAAUUUUCUACUGUGUAUAGAGAUCACUGCAUCAAGCACAAGUAAAAGAGUCCACGUUAGAGAUGCUAAAGCAGCGUAUAGGCCUAUCCAUGGCAUUGGUGCAUUGGCGUUCAUUAUUUUGUUUAAUUGUUCAGCUCUCUUCCGACGACUGCGUUGCUUUGGAUUUGAGAUGAGAAUGCUCGAGUGGUGGAAAUUUCUUUGUUAUGUCAAUGCAAUUUCAACUUUGCUAAAAGACAAAGUAGCUUUUUCUUGUUAUUAAUAUGUUUUACAUUUUUUAUUAAAAUUCGAAAUAUUGCAUUGUAAUUCUUGUAUUUUGAAAUUAUGGAGUUACUUGAUCUUAUUGAGGUAAAGAGUUAUUACUUGCUAUAAUAUUCAUUGGCAUUAUUAUUGUCACAAGUGUAAAAUAUUAUUAUGGGAGUUCAUGAGUUAGAAGUUAUAAGAAUAUGAAUUAUGAGACUUAGGCCCAGUUUGAGCCCUAGUAAUUUGAAAAAAUGCAUUAUGAAAUAGUGAUUGAUAAAGAAUGUAUGGUUAAAAAAAGAAGAAAAAAAAUUAUUUGCGUAAAAUAUUAUUUUAAUGAAAAAGAUGAAAAAAUGAAAUAUAAUGUAAUGAGGGUCAAACUGGGGUUAAAUUGAUAUAUAUUGGCUAAAAGAAGGGUGUUAUUUCAGCGGAGCUUUGAGUUCAUUUUUUGAAAUUUUCCUUUUGUACAUAAUUUUAGUUGACAGAAGGAGACACGUGUGGGUCCCAUGUGUGAUAAAAAAAUGUCAAAAAAUAUCAACCCCCAUCCCAUAUGAGUUGUCAGGAAACAAUCUCUAAGCAAAACUUUCAGUAAGUGCAGCUCAUAAAUAUAUGUGGUGAGUACUCAAAAAAAAAAGGUUGAACCCCAACCUUAAGGGUCCCCCACUGCCCUUGCGCUGGAGUAUCGUGAGGGAGGUAAAUCGCAGGUUAUGCCUCCAAGAGUACAGGGUGGAAGGCUGCUUGUACUCCCUUCCACACCAUGUUGGAAAAGAUUAGCUCAUAAAUUUCUAAUUUUAACACUAUAGAAGACUCCCCCCCUAGUGAUAUUAUAUAUCCAUUUUUCAAUUUAAGUAAUUUUUUUUUUCUGGCUAGAUAUAAAACUACCUUUUCUUUCUUUUUAAAAAUUUGANUGAUGCUGAAUGAUAGCUUUCCUCAUAGACCAACAGUAAACUGUUGCAGAUUUUGUACAUUGAAUUAGCAAUUAUGAUAUUUUUAGGCAAGUGAACUGAGCUUUCCAUGGCAUUUCCAUUCAUUCUACUUGUGAAUUCCUUCAAAUUUUCUUCACUUCUAUUUGCAAGAUUCUUAAGAGUUUCUUUGGACGAUUUUGAUACCCUGGCAAUUUUUUGGAGGUCCAUGUCUAACCACUUGUGUCUAAAUUCAACUAAAACCCAUGCAAAAUCUGUAGUGCUCGUGCUACUUUCCAAUUUUUUAUAAACAUCCACAUCUUUCUCUAUGAGGUGCACAUACCUAAAACCUUCAAUGACGCUUUUUAACAACCGAUUCCUCUUCUCAUUAUGAAUGUUGGGAAGAGCUUCAAUGAUGCUUGUUAGUGUUGCCACGGAUAGACUCCAGCAAUUAAGAGGUUCUGGGAGAAUUAUCGGAGAGACUUGAUCACUUUCAAAUUUUAAUACACCCUCGGAGCUGGUGGAAUUCUCCAUAAGCUCCAUUAGAUAUCUAGGCUGACACUUUGCACCCAUCUUUAUGCAUGAAUUAAUAGAAGUGUUAACAAACCUUAGGUAUCCAUCUUGUAUUGCCUCACUUUCUAGAAGUAAAACAAAAUUUCUAAUAUCUUGCUCAUAACCAAGAAUGUGUUCUGGUUCAUUGGGAAUGACCAAGUCCUCGGAUUCCCUUAAGAAAAAUUGCUUCAACAUCAC
rnacentral:lncRNA from 1 species